AAGGGAGACCUAAUUCGGGUAUAAGACGAAAAAAGAGUAGUCGAAACCAAGAAUCAGUCCCAAAAGGUCGGAACGAGGUAUGUGGCUUUCAAACUAGGUUCUGGGUUCACACAAGACCUGAAUCAGGAACAAGGGCUAUUAGCUCAGGUGGUUAGAGCGCGCCCCUGAUAAGGGUGAGGUCCCUGGUUCGAGUCCAGGAUGGCCCACCUGCACAGGUGGCAAAAACAAAGAAGCGAGGAAUCAGCACCUUAUCUUAUCUAUAUAUAAGAGAGAAUGCUGGCUCUGAGUAAAGAGUCCAGAGGAACCUUGAAAACUGCAUAGAGCUAGGUGAAAAAGCCAAAAAAGAAGACCGCAA
rnacentral:tRNA from 1 species